GACGAACGCUGGCGGCGUGCUUAACACAUGCAAGUCGAGCGAUGAAGCACCUUCGGGUGUGAAUUAGCGGCGAACGGGUGAGGAACACGUGAGAAAUCUGCCUUCAACUCUGGGAUAACUCCGUGAAAACGGGGCUAAUACCGGAUAUGAAACCUGCGGGCAUCCGCGGGUUUGGAAAGUUUUUCGGUUGAAGAUGAUCUCGCGGCCUAUCAGCUUGUUGGUGAGGUAAUGGCUCACCAAGGCGACGACGGGUAGCCGGCCUGAGAGGGCGACCGGCCACACUGGGACUGAGACACGGCCCAGACUCCUACGGGAGGCAGCAGUGGGGAAUAUUGGGCAAUGGAGGAAACUCUGACCCAGCGACGCCGCGUGCGGGAUGAA
rnacentral:rRNA from 1 species